rnacentral:lncRNA from 10 species
AUGCGCUACGUCGCCUCCUACCUGCUGGCUGCCCUCGGGGGUAACUCCUCCCCCAGCGCCAAGGACAUCAAGAAGAUCUUGGACAGCGUGGGCAUCGAGGAGGAUUACGACCGGCUCAACAAGGUUAUCAGUGAGCUGAAUGGAGAAAACAAUGAAGACGUCAUUGCCUAGAGUAUUGGCAAGCUUGCCAGUGUACCUGCCGGUGUGGCUGUGGCCAUCUCUGUUGCCCCAGGCUCUGCAGCCCCUGCUGCUGGUUCCGCCCCUGCUGCAGCAGAGGAGAAGAAAGAUGAGAAGGAGGAGUCUGAGGAGUCGGACGAUGACAUGGGAUUUGGCCUCUUUGAUUAA